rnacentral:rRNA from 1 species
UGAGUAACACGUAUGCAACCUGCCUGCCACAGCCGGAUAAUCGGGAGAAAUUCCGUCUAAUACGGCAUAAUGCAUCGACGGGACAUCCUGUUGGUGCCAAAGGUUAAUUCCGGUGGCGGAUGGGCAUGCGGCGCAUUAGGAAGACGGCGGUGUGACGGACCACCGUUCCGACGAUGCGUAGGGGUUCUGAGAGGAAGGCCCCCCACACUGGUACUGAGACACGGACCAGACUCCUACGGGAGGCAGCAG